ACUCCGUGAAGCUGGAUUCGCUAGUAAUCGCGCAUCAGCCAUGGCGCGGUGAAUACGUUCCCGGGCCUUGUACACACCGCCCGUCAAGCCAUGGGAGUCGGGAGUGCCUGAAGUUCGUGACCGUCACAGGAGCGACCUAAGGCAAGACCGAUGACUGGGGCUAAGUCGUAACAAGGUACC
rnacentral:rRNA from 1 species